GAAAUAAAUUAUUUAAGCUGCUAACUUAAAACUUAGUGAACUCUCAUUAUUAUUUCU
rnacentral:tRNA from 1 species